UACGUAGGGUCCGAGCGUUGUCCGGAAUUACUGGGCGUAAAGAGCUCGUAGGUGGUUUGCCGCAUUGUUCGUGAAAACUCACAGCUCAACUGUGGGCGUGCGGGCGAUACGGGCAGACUGGAGUACUGCAGGGGAGACUGGAAUUCCUGGUGUAGCGGUGGAAUGCGCAGAUAUCAGGAGGAACACCGGUGGCGAAGGCGGGUCUCUGGGCAGUAACUGACGCUGAGGAGCGAAAGCGUGGGGAGCGAACAGG
rnacentral:rRNA from 1 species